UACGUAGGUGGCAAGCGUUGUCCGGAAUUAUUGGGCGUAAAGCGCGCGCAGGCGGUUUCUUAAGUCUGAUGUGAAAGCCCACGGCUCAACCGUGGAGGGUCAUUGGAAACUGGGGAACUUGAGUGCAGAAGAGGAGAGUGGAAUUCCACGUGUAGCGGUGAAAUGCGUAGAGAUGUGGAGGAACACCAGUGGCGAAGGCGACUCUCUGGUCUGUAACUGACGCUGAGGCGCGAAAGCGUGGGGAGCGAACAGGAUUAGAAACCCCCGUAGUCC
rnacentral:rRNA from 1 species